rnacentral:rRNA from 1 species
UAAUCGGAGAUUUCCCUUCGGGGACAGUGGUGACAGGUGGUGCAUGGUUGUCGUCAGCUCGUGUCGUGGGAUGUUGGGUUAAGUCCCGCAACGAGCGCAACCCUUGCCUUUAGUUGCCAGCAUUAAGUUGGGCACUCUAGAGGGACUGCCGAGGAUAACUCGGAGGAAGGUGGGGAUGACGUCAAAUCAUCAUGCCCCUUAUGCUUAGGGCUACACACGUGCUACAAUGGGUGGUACAGAGGGUUGCCAAGCCGCGAGGUGGAGCUAAUCCCUUAAAGCCAUUCUCAGUUCGGAUUGUAGGCUGAAACUCGCCUACAUGAAGCUGGAGUUACUAGUAAUCGCAGAUCAGAAUGCUGCGGUGAAUGCGUUCCCGGGCCUU